rnacentral:snRNA from 1 species
GUGCUCACUUGGGUAGCACAUAUACUAAAAUUGGAACAGCACAGAGAAGAUUAGUGUGGCUCCUGUGCAAGGAUGACAUGCAAAUUCAUGAAGCAUUUCAUAUUUUU